CAGGGUGCAUCCUGAGAAUGAUGAUCCAGAAGUCAUUCUCCCCUGGUGGGCACCAUGGCCAGGUUUCUGGAUAGCAGCUUAGCAAUUCUAGUGAAAUCUCAAUGCUAUCUGGUAUGGUUUUCUUAGUAGUUAGGGUGGGCUUCUGCUACAGAACUAGUUCAUUAAGUCUUUGUGCCUCAUCUGUGAAAUUAUGUGAAAUAAUUAAUUUUUCUUUACUAAGAAAGCAUUGCAGGUAUGGUGUUUGAUAUCUAGUUUUGUAAAUACAUAAUUCUAAGUCUUCCUGUGCUGAUAUUUACACUAUUAUAUGUCUUUGUUGACUCAAAUCGAGAACAAGUGUAUAAAAAUCACAUUAGAAAGUGUAUGAAACAUGAAAGUUUUGAACAAGCCUGGAGAAAGUCAUUUAGGUAUGGAAGGUUUAACAAUACAGGACCAAUCCACGUCUCUUCUUUUCUUCAUGGAAUCUGGGGAAAAAGAUUUCAUGACUUUCGCAAGGAAAAAAAAAAAACACAUCCUAAUUAUUUUAGUGUUUCAAUAUCUAUUCUCUCUUUGACACUUCAAAAGAUUGCUUUGAGCAAAGCAAGAAAUUCUAUAAUUCUGUUUUUUUUCUAAUUAUGUGUGAAAGUUUUAUUUUGCAAGAGAAUUAUUUCUGGAAACCAAGAACGUUUUGUUGUUUUUAAUUAAACAGGUUCUCCAUUUACUUAUGUUUAAAGAUAAUUGCCCAUCCAACUCUUCCCUAAGUUAUUUGCCUGUGAUUUAUUACUGAAUAUGAUUCUGUAUUUUUUCUAGCCAUUUCAUAAAAACAGAAGACAUGAAGUAUUUAGAGCUCCUUCCCAAUAGUUAGUGGAUUUUUAAUUGACAGCUUUAUUAAUACUGUAAUCCAGCACCACACCACCACCAAAAAAACUGCCACAAGUAGGGUUGAGGGUAAAAUGUGAACAUGCUGGCUAAGUGUUUGUAAUAAAUCAUAUGUCAGCCCUUUCAACUAGAGUGCUUUUUCCUAAGUAAACAAUGUAAUUUGUACAGUUUUCCUUCAAGUUUAAUAUUAAC
rnacentral:lncRNA from 1 species